rnacentral:rRNA from 1 species
AUGGCAUAAGAUAGGCGUUUGUCCGAUUAGUUAGUUGGUAAGGUAAUGGCUUACCAAGACAAUGAUCGGUAGGGGGCCUGAGAGGGCAUACCCCCACAUUGGUACUGAGACACGGACCAAACUUCUACGGAAGGCAGCAGUGAGGAAUAUUGGUCAAUGGAGGCAACUCUGAACCAGCCACUCCGCGUGUAGGAUUAAGGCCAUUUAGGUUGUAAACUACUUUUGUAUAUGAAUAAAAAAUUCUAUUUUUAGAAACAAUUGAAGGUAAUAUACGAAUAAGUAUCGGCCAACUCUGUGCCAGCAGCAGCGGUAAAACAGAGGAUACAAGCGUUAUCCGGAUUUAUUGGGUUUAAAGGGUGCGUAGGUGGUUUUUUAAGUCAGUAGUGAAAUCUUAAAGCUUAACUUUAAAAGUGCUAUUGAUACUGAUAAACUAGAGUGAGGUUGGAGUAACUGGAAUGUGUGGUGGAGCGGUGAAAUGCAUAGAGAUCACACAGAACACCAAUCGCGAAGGCAUGUUACUAAACAUAGACUGACACUGAGGCACGAAAGCAUGGGUAGCAAACAGGAUUAGAUACCCUGGUAGUCCAUGCCGUAAACGAUGAUCACUAACUAUUGGAGAAUAAUUCAGUGGUCAAGCGAAAGUGAUAAGUGAUCCACCUGAGGAGUACGACCGCAAGGUUGAAACUCAAAGGAAUUGACGGGGGCCCGCACAAUCGGUGGAGCACGUGGUUUAAUUCGAUGAUACGCGAGGAACCUUACCAAAACUUAAAUGUAUUACGAAUAAAUUGGAAACAAUUUAGUCAUUAGACGGAGUACAAGGUGCUGCAUGGUUGUCGUCAGCUCGUGCCGUGAGGUGUGAGGUUAAGUCCUUUAACGAGCGCAACCC